AGUUUAAUGAAAUUUAAAUUGCGUUCACAGUCUGGCAACGUAAAGCACUUCCGCAAAACGGACAAAUUCGAAACCCCGAGACUCAGUUAGACGCUCGAGUGCCAUGCCAUACUUUAUCUUCAUUCUAAAAUGAGUCUAAAUCAGUUACCCGAAGAAGUGUUAUUACGCCACAUACUUUCAUUUUCAGAAAUUACUAUUUUUGAUUUGCAGAGUUUGAUGUUUUCCUGCCAUACUUUAUAUCGUAUUAUUCGGAAUUCGAACGAAUUGUGGAGACUAAAGUUCAGUACAAGAUGGCCUCAAAUUCCAAUUCAACACCAAGAAAGAAAUGAAAGGAUUUGGUAUGAAAGAGUAGCUCUUGCAAUAAUGGCAGUUAAAGAAGUUCACAACACUCUGCAAGAAAUCUCCUUUCAGUGCUACCCUUUAAACCAGAGUCCUUUGAGUGCAGCUGAUAAGUUGAUUAUGGGUCAUUUGGGUCAACCUCCCAUUCCUGAAUGUGUGCAACAUGAACUUGAGCUUAUGGCUAGUACCACAAAUGAAAAUUUGACUACACAGUACUAUGCUAGGGAUCUUCUAACCAAAGUAAAAAGCCGUCUGAUAGAACGUAAAUUACAAGAUUUGAUGGCACAACCAGAAUCUCAGAAAUCCCUGAUAGACGGUGCUGUACUCAUUUCCCAGUGGUUUGAGAUGGGCAAGCUUAAACAAACCAACCUAGGUGACAUUAGACAAGUUAUUGAAGACCUCACCGAAAGAGUAAGGAAACUUACCAAUUCUACGGUGUAUAGUGCAGAAUGUUUAUUUCCAACCGCCAAAGCAUGUGAUUCAUUUGAAAAAGCCAAAGAAAUUCUCGACUUGAUUCAUCUGGUUAUGUUUCGUGAUAUAGGCUUUGAACCAUGUCAUAUCUACUGGUUGUCUCUUGAUCAUUAUUGUUCUAUCACAGAGGUGCUUGAAACAAAGCGUGGCUGUCAAAUGCUUUUAACAAUAGUCUUCCAUGAAGUUGCCAGGGAACUUGGUAUUCCAUUACAAAUUGUAAUCUAUAGAGAAUGUUCACUCAGUGGAGAAAGGGACCUACUUCUAAGAUGGAGCAAAGAUCCAGGGGAAGUGGAUGCCGAAAGAAUUUACUACGUUGAUGUUUGUGCUAAGACGUAUGAUUCAUUAAAGCAGUGCCAUUGUUAUCCAGCCGCCAUGGGUCAACCAGCUUCUUCAGCCCAGAAAGUGUUCCAUCAAAUGAUGAGCACGAUAAUAGAACAAUUACGGUUUCAUUGGGGAUCGUUUUUAAAUUUCACUGGCUUAGGAAGAGACAACGAUUUUCGACUCCUCAUUCGACUUGCCAUUAUUAUUUCACCCCGAGAAAAGGAUUUAGUCCUGGAAUAUGCAAACCUCUGCUUAGCUUUAAGCCUUCAGCUGGAAGACGCAAUUCAACUCCUUCUGUCUGUAGGGCUUCAGGCUCAUCAGAUGAUGAAGAAGUGCGUGGAAAAGCUGUGUAGACAUCAAAUAUUAAUCAUUGCGGCGAAAUUUGUUUGUUACCGGCCUCUAACAGUAAAAUAUGCAGUCGGCCUCGUCAUGGAAUAUAAAUCAAUGCCCGAAUUCUACUUCAACCACAGCCAACCUUGUGUCAUUGUUUCGUGGAGCGCCAAAUUUCAGAAAUCCGAUCAAUGGAAGACUGUUCAUAGGAAAAGGAAGCCGAAGGGCGUUAAACAGCAAGAUCAGGCAUUCUACCACAUUUUGGUAAAAAAUGCCCCCAGUGGUUUUAUCGGAUUAAACGUUGCUGAAGAAACUUUAGAGCUUCCUCGUGAUAUCGGUCUUGCUCAUGAACAGCUGGGAUCUGAUUUCGGAGGCAACGGAUACUUUGAACGAUUCGACGGCCGCAGCUGUUGCAAUCGGCUAUGCAACUAAUGGAAUAAUGGAGAGGAAGUGGUUCGCAAAAGAAAAUGCGAAGGGCAUUGAUGGGCCCUUGACAGUCGUGGAACAAGCUAAGACAAAUUUUGGAGCUGCAAUGAACAGUGCAGUAUAUCGUUCAUAAUAUCGACUGACGGCUGUAUUGUUAUGUACCAGUUCUAUUCAGGUGACUGUCUCCUUUAGCCACUCGCUAACUUCUUCGACCCCAAGAGAAGAACCUGAUCUCUAGCCAUUGAUAACGUUCAAUCUAAGGUGUAGCUUAUCAUCUUCAUUAUGGUAGGGUUCAAGGUGAACUGUCUGCAUCUCUUUUCGACGAUGUAUUCAGAAGACCGUGGUAGCAAUGAAUUGCCGUGGCAAUGAUUAAACUAUCCAGACACGGCAAGUUUGAUUUAAAAAAUGUUAAUUCCCCGUUUGUCACUAGAUUUUGAGCACUUGCUUCUACUUAACACCGUCACGGUGCUGCUUAGUCAUUUUCAUUCAAAGCGUUUUGAUGGAAUUCCACCAUAAACUUGAUUAACAAAUGAGAAAACCGGAGAUGAAGAUGAUUCGUUCGUUCGUGUAGAUGCUUUUUGGAAGAUAUGAGAAACUUCCAGGAACAAAGAACCAAUUCCCUUACGUGAAACCAGUCGUCGACUGUUGGAGAACGGCCAGAUCAGUUCCACCACCUUUGGCCAACCUCAGCUCUAUCCCAAGCCAGAACGGCCCGGCAGCUCAUUCCGCCCAGCAUUUCACAACCCCAGAAUUGGCGAAGAAUAGAUUUAGAUCUCGAGGUUUUGGCUCCACUUCAAUUACUCCGGUGAUUCCCAAAGACAAAAUCACCCGGCCAUUACUGAAAAAACAAGAGAAAAGUCGACCAGAUUGGAAUGCGUCGCCAAAAGUAAAAGAGGAAAAGCCAAUCGUAACCAAGACCACAAUGAGCGGAACGAAACCAACUGACAUGGAAAAUGCGAAGCUGGUUCCGUUCAAAGCCAGACCCGUUCCUCGCAGCCAUUAUGACAAGCCUUUUCGACCAGUCUUGCCCAGUAAGAAAGACAAGAAAGGACAACAAAACGCUGUUUCCCAAUUGGCAAAUCGCAUGUGGCACGCCGUGGUGGAUCCAAUUUUCCCUCCAAAGGAAGUGGACGAUGAAAAACGGGUUAACGACGAAGCAACUGCUCAGGAUCCGGAAGACAAAGAAACAGGCAGCGAGGCUCCACACAGCACAAAACAUUCUACGUCGGAAGCAGAAACUGACAAAGUCUUACCGACGGAAGAUGCAGUUGAGCCACUAGCCAAUCCUGGACUUGUCAGCCGUAUGUGGCACUCGAUAGUCGACCCGAUUUUGAAUACGGGGACAAAGGAAUCAGUGGAGGUAGAGAGCAAUUCAAAGGGUUUGUCGGAAAACGAGGAAAUACCGGAAGAAGAUGGUGAUGGAGCCGCUGGAUCUCGAGCGAUGAUAAAGGGACAUCACAGGAGGCCAUAUUCUGACAGUUAUCUAUUGAACAACCGGUCAGUUGAAAUUGCGGAAGAAGAGGAAUCUGCCCGUCCUGGAUCAUUCCAAAGUGUUGCGGAGGAAGGUGAAAAACAAUCAGAAAUGGAUGUAGAACCAUCCGACGAACACCAUCAGAAGAAACAGGCGGAUCAUAAUCAAACUGAAGUAGCAGAUUCGUUUGAUGCCCAAACCACCAAGACUCGUAAAGAGAAGCGUCGCUUUGAAAGCAAAAAUUCCCCACGAAAAUUUACGGGAAACGACGAGUAAUUUUUGCCACCGAUUUUUUUGUCUAACUCAGCAGAAAUGUGGGUUUUACUUUGAUCCAGUGCAGAUUUUGUUCUGAUGUUUGCAGGUAUGCAAAUACAUUUGAUUCAAUUAAAAAAAAAAAAAACAUUU